rnacentral:rRNA from 1 species
GAUGAACGCUAGCGGCAGGCCUAAUACAUGCAAGUCGAACGGUAAGUUUUCUUCGGAAGACACGAGUGGCGCACGGGUGAGUAACGCGUACGCAAUCUACCUCUAUCAGGGGGAUACACAUUGGAAACGGUGGAUAAUCCCGCAUACAAUUCACGAGUGGCAUCACUUGUGGAUAAAAGCUAAGGCGGAUAGAGUUGAGCGUGCGUCUGAUUAGCUAGUUGGUGAGGUAAAGGCUCACCAAGGCGACGAUCAGUAGGGGGCGUGAGAGCGUGGUCCCCCACACGGGUACUGAGACACGGACCCGACUCCUACGGGAGGCAGCAGUGGGGAAUAUUGGACAAUGGGCGAAAGCCUGAUCCAGCAAUGCCGCGUGAGUGAUGAAGGCCUUAGGGUUGUAAAGCUCUUUUACCCGGGAUGAUAAUGACAGUACCGGGAGAAUAAGCCCCGGCUAACUCCGUGCCAGCCGCCGCUGUAA